rnacentral:rRNA from 1 species
GACGAACGCUGGCGGCGUGCUUAACACAUGCCAGUCGAACGGAAAGGCCCUGCUUUUGUGGGGUGCUCGAGUGGCGAACGAGUGAGUAACACGUGAGUAACCUGCCCUUGACUUUGGGAUAACUUCAGGAAACUGGGGCUAAUACCGGAUAGGAGCUCCUGCUGCAUGGUGGGGGUUGGAAAGUUUCGGCGGUUGGGGAUGGACUCGCGGCUUAUCAGCUUGUUGGUGGGGUAGUGGCUUACCAAGGCUUUGACGGGUAGCCGGCCUGAGAGGGUGACCGGCCAGAUGGGGACUGAGAUACGGCCCAGACUCCUACGGGAGGCAGCAGUGGGGAAGAUUGCACAAUGGGCGGAAGCCUGAUGCAGUAACGCCGCGUGCGGGAUGACGGCAUUCGGGUUGGAAACCGCUUUCGCCUGUGACGAAGCGUGAGUGACGGUAAUGGGUAAAGAAGCACCGGCUAACUACGUG